UACAGAGGUCUCGAGCGUUAGGCGGAAUCACUGGGCUUAAAGCGUGUGUAGGUGGAUCGUUAAGUACCUUGUGAAAUCCCACGGCUUAACCGUGGAACUGCUUGGUAUACUGGCGGUCUUGAGCCAGCUAGGGGCUACCGGAACAAAUGGUGGAGCGGUGAAAUGCGUAGAUAUCAAGUGGAACACCAGUGGCGAAGGCGAGUCUCUGGACAAUUCCUGACGCUGAGGCACGAAAGCCAGGGGAGCAAACGGG
rnacentral:rRNA from 1 species